rnacentral:rRNA from 1 species
CCUACGGGAGGCAGCAGUGGGGAAUAUUGCGCAAUGGGCGAAAGCCUGACGCAGCGACGCCGCGUGAGGGAUGAAGGUCUUCGGAUCGUAAACCUCUGUCAGCAGGGAAGAAAGGUCACUGUGCUAAUCAGCAGUGAAUUGACGGUACCUGCAAAGGAAGCACCGGCUAACUCCGUGCCAGCAGCCGCGGUAAUACGGAGGGUGCGAGCGUUAAUCGGAAUUACUGGGCGUAAAGCGCUCGUAGGCGGUAUGUCAAGUCAAGGGUGAAAUCCCCGCGCUCAACGUGGGAACUGCCUUUGAAACGGGCAGACUGGAGUGUGUGAGAGGAUAGUGGAAUUCCAGGUGUAGGAGUGAAAUCCGUAGAUAUCUGGAGGAACAUCAGUGGCGAAGGCGACUAUCUGGCACAUAACUGACGCUGAGGAGCGAAAGCGUGGGUAGCAAACAGGAUUAGAUACCCGAGUAGUC